rnacentral:lncRNA from 1 species
GGGGGAGAGAGGCAGGGGGCUGGGCCGGGAAGGAGGUGGAGGGGGGAGGGCUGGCGUCCGGGGCUGAAAGACCGCCUGCCUCUGGGCAAGCCCCGUCCGCCAGUCCCCCCAGAGUCUCUCCCGGACACUCUAGGUUUUUGUUGUUGUUGUUGUUUUUUCUAGGGUUGGGGCGAGGAGAAGCUGGGAUGCGGAAUUAGAGCGGCGGGCGGGCUGGUGGCGGCGAGGGAGGCAGUCGGAUGCGAGGACCCCCCCCCCCGCCUCCAUUUCCCAGCCCUUUCCCCCCAUCCACCCACGCGCGCGUGCUCUCCCGGCGCUGAUGAUGUCCUGCCCGCUCCGCUGCUCUGGCUCAGCUCGUGACUCUGCUUCGUGCUGGCAAAAUUCCGCAGCGUGCACUUGGGGGCGGGGGCGGGAAGGUUGGCUCCCAGCCUUAACCCCUUGAGCUGGCCACCCUCGGGCCUCCCCGACUGCCAGGCACCCCACUUUCCUGCCCCCUCCCACACUAGGUCAUUCCCAGGCCCAGCCCCCCCCCCCCCCAGCACCCAUGCCCCCAGCCAUCCUGCAGGACACUCCAUCCUGCACCUGCUUGCCCUCAAUAGCAUCGAAAUCUCCCAUCUCUUCCUGUGGGCGCCCCUUCCCCAGACCCCCACCUCUAGAGUCCAAAUGGGUGCGGGCAACGGACGCGAGCAGAGUGACACGCACAGUGUACACAGGGCGCCUUCGGUGUACACCCCGCUUCGAACAGGGCAGUGGAAAAGCAAACAGGAGCUUCGCAGGAGGAGAUGGAGCCUAAACACCAGCUCGUUUCACCCGCCCCUUGUUGGUCACCCAAGCACGUGUCCGCCCCCUGGGGUGCGAGGGCUAAUCCAGGAGCUAUGAUGGGCCUGCUCAACCUCAAGACGGAAGAAAGAGCCCAGAGACAGUGACCAAGACAUCAGUGGUUUAUUAGACGGGGAUCACUCACAAAAGCUCCUGGAGCGACAUUGCAGCAUGUGUGGAGAACAGUGGGCAGGACACAGCAGCAGUCUUCCCUACUAGGGGAGAAGGCGGCUACCAUUUACAGGGGUAUUGACAUCAGGUGGGCUUGUGAAUUACCAUGGAAUAAUUAAGUCCUAUAAUUAAGAGGGUUGCAUCCUCACGUGAGAGAAGCAGGGGCUGGUUGAGCAGGGGAUGUUCAGAGAGCAAGAGAACAGCCGUCUUGAUUGGCAUAACCAUACACUGUGUCACUUUUUGACUCAUGUAGUUAUAUUUUAGGAUAUGGGGUUUGAUCUGUGAAUCUUUGAUCUCUUUGCUUCCAGUGUCCUCAGUCCAGGAUCCUUCAGGGCCUGAGACCACAGUAAGCUCAAAUACCCAGAUGAUCAUCGUUCUGCCUCCCAUAGGGAAACCCAUGAGGAAGAGAAACUGGAAGAAGGCAAGUUUAUCAGAAGCCAUAUUUCUUAAUAAAACUUGUCUUUGCUUCUGGAUAGCUUCAGACAGAAGAGCCAUCCAGAAACAUUAGUCCCCUCU